AUUGAACGCUGGCGGCAGGCCUAACACAUGCAAGUCGAGCGGAUGAGAAGAGCUUGCUCUUCGAUUCAGCGGCGGACGGGUGAGUAAUGCCUAGGAAUCUGCCUGGUAGUGGGGGACAACGUUUCGAAAGGAACGCUAAUACCGCAUACGUCCUACGGGAGAAAGCAGGGGACCUUCGGGCCUUGCGCUAUCAGAUGAGCCUAGGUCGGAUUAGCUAGUUGGUGAGGUAAUGGCUCACCAAGGCGACGAUCCGUAACUGGUCUGAGAGGAUGAUCAGUCACACUGGAACUGAGACACGGUCCAGACUCCUACGGGAGGCAGCAGUGGGGAAUAUUGGACAAUGGGCGAAAGCCUGAUCCAGCCAUGCCGCGUGUGUGAAGAAGGUCUUCGGAUUGUAAAGCACUUUAAGUUGGGAGGAAGGGCAGUAAGUUAAUACCUUGCUGUUUUGACGUUACCGACAGAAUAAGCACCGGCUAACUCUGUGCCAGCCGCCGCCGUAAUAC
rnacentral:rRNA from 1 species